rnacentral:lncRNA from 1 species
GAGAGAGAGAGAGAGAGAGAGAGAACUGUUCACUCAGUGAGCCCUGUGGGCGGGCCUUCAGCAAUGCAGCCCAUUCCUCCAUUCAAGCACGCGUGCUCAUGGGUCUUCCUAGAGGACACGGAAACGUGGGGCCAUUGUCCUGCACUUGGGCAGUCAGCUGAUGACCUGAGAACAAGCCUUUCUAUCUGAGCUGAGUCAAGCCACCAUCUUUAAAGCCCUGGUCAGUCAGCUUGCUGAUGUUUGGCCGUGAAGGACACGCGCUCCCCUCACCUCAUGCCACCCUCUUUUUGCUUCCAGGGUGCGCACAUUAUAGUGUUCCCAGAAGACGGUAUCCACGGAUUCAACUUCACAAGAACAUCCAUUUACCCAUUCUUGGACUUGAUGCCAUCUCCCAGGCUGGUCAGUUGGAACCCGUGUCUGGAGCCCUUUCGCUUCAAUGACACGGAGGUAGGUGAGGAGUCCAGCAGACUGAGCGGAAACCAGGUCCGUGGCCCAGAGCCACCGCACGUGCUGCCUGAGGUUUGAAGGAGGCUCUGGGAGCCAAACCACCAAACCCAAACUCCCCAGGCCCCGUGCUGAUAAGGGACAUUACGCAGAUCUUUCAUUGAUGAGUUACACAGGAGCCACACGAAUCGAAAUAUAGUAAACAAGUCGUU